GCGACUGAUGUCCUGUGACUCAAAGUCCAGCGGCGACUCCAACUCCACCCUGCGGCGGGAGCUGAAGCAGUUCCUCGGCUGGGUGAAGAAGCACGCCUACGGCUGCAGCAGCAUGUCCAUGAAGCUGUACGACCAGUGGAGGGUGGACAUGCAGAAAUCGCCAAAAACUCGCAACCAGGUAGGUUCUCCAAGGGGAUAAGUCGUAGCACAUGCCGGCCCUGCAAGCAGAGACGAACUGAACGAAUGCAGUUUGUAUUUUAUUUUUUGUUUGUCUAUAUGUGUGAAUGUGGGAGGAAAAAAAAAAGCGAGAAAGAAAAAAAGCGACUGCAUUCUCAUAUUGGAAAUGUAAAAGACAAUUUGCUCCAGAAGAAAUCCAGAGGGGAAUUAAAAAAAAAAAAGUGGGAGACUUCGUUUCUGCAUCUUUUCCAGUCGAUUUGAGCUCGUCUAAACGGUGGAGCUGUUUUCACUCGUCGCGGACGAGAAAGAAACUACGUGGGCGCAAGCGACAUUGUAGCAUGAAGAUGUCGGACAGCGGUGAAGACAUUUGACGUGCAUUUGGCCUGAAUGUGCACAGGAGAGAUGAAAACUAAUCCGAUUUCCGCUGAAGUGUUGGCUAAAGCGCCUAAACGCGUUGUUAGUGGCAUUUGGGGCGCCAUCUAGUGGCUAGUCAGCGUCCACUAAUUCUCUCUAAAUGAUCCCUUCUCUCACAUCCCAAUGUAAAAAGAAACAUGAACAGAUUAUGAUUCAGUAUUUUAACGAGUGCGUCGCUAUGUUAGGUUGAUAGUGUGCCAAACUGGUCCACCCAGGAUUUGUCUGUUUCUGAGUGCCAGUAUGUGACUGAUGGUGUUUGUGUCGGCUGCGGAAAGCCUUUAUUUUUGUACUAAAUUGUACCAGCAUAUUUAAAGUAUAAAGCUAUGUUUUAUAAUUCUUAAGUUAAAUUUAGUCAGUAAAGACUGUACAAUGACUGAAGUUGUUAUCAAUCUCUAAUUGUGUUCUAUAAAAAUGUUGACAGAAA